CUAUUGGAUUUUAUUCCUUCGCUAACACUGUCUACCUUUAGAAAGGACAAGCCAUCUCAUUAUGGCCUCAUAUGAAGUCACUAACUUUUGCAUGUCAAGAAUAAAAGAGAAAUUUAUAAACAAAAUGGGAAGCAUGGUUGGGCCAAAUGAAUCUUUGUUAUUAUGACCGAGCUUGCAGGGAAGUUGUGGAGAGAUUCUUUGUUCUGAUUUCUAGUGGAGUAUUCUGGCCCUGGUGUUAUUCCCCCCGCCUGCCCAUCAUCUUCCUGAGACCUGUUGGCAAAGGGAGGUUUUCACAGCCUGAAGUGUUGAUUCUGAAGUGUGAAGGAAACAGAACCACGCUGGAUGAGUGACUCACCUUGGAGAAGCUGGUGUUUUUUGGCUGAGGGAAAGUGUUAAGUUUCAGCCUUACUAGUCCAGGUGUUUUAAUGGAUAUUGCUGUAAGAGAAACCCUGGUCUGCUUGUCUUGCUCAGUCCUGAAUAGGAGAAUAACAACUUACAUGCUAACAUAAAUGUUUAAUGAUUUAUGAUAAAAAAAAAAUUAGAUGGCAAGCAAAAUGCUAGGUUAAUUGAUUAUGGAGUCCUAAAUUUCCCAAAAUGUAGCAUUCCAGCCAAAUAUGGCUGAAAUAUCAGCUGUCAUAUGAUGAAUAUUUUAAAGAAGAUUCUAUUAUACACCUAGGAGUUCAUUCGCUUCAGUAAUGAGGACAGUUACCUCUAGGGAAAGGAAGCUAUAUUAUGCUUGCCACUUAACCAGGGGCUGGUUUGACAGGCAUCAGCUCAGAAUAUAUGUGUAUAUAUAGGGAAUCACAGCAGCUUGUCUCUAGCUUACUGAGCAGGAAAUGUUGUGCUGUACAAUUCUUUGGGUUUCUAUCUAUGGAUUUGUGGAUGGCACUGAGUGGGAUUCAGACUAUUUUUAUUCCUGAGUCUGAUUGUUGAGGUGGAAUCCAUCACCUACUAAAUAUUAAAUCAGCAAGUUUUUUAAAGAGCAACACUGUCUCUGCUGACUUGAACAUCCUUAUGUGGCCCAGAGGAAAAGAGAAACAAAGACAAGAUGAGAAAACUAUCGUCUUUGGCAUUCUUCUUAAUAUUAAUGAUUUCUCUAAAGUUUUCAAACUGUUGAAGGCAAAAAGUGAGAUAUAACUUUCACAUGGGUAAGAAAUGACCCAGGUGAAAAAAAAGCAUACAUUAUAAAAACUGUGGUGAAACUUCUGGAGUUGAAUUAUUAGUUGGAAGAGAUGAAGAGAAUGCAUCAACAGAUUAUUUUUUAAACAAGUUUUGUUUAAUUGUUUCCAAACAAACAUGGCUGGGAAUUAUUAGGAAUGUGUCAAUUCAAAAUUAUUUAAACACUUUCAUACAGAUUUUACACUGAGUAUUGUUUCUGAAACCUACUGUUUAUAAAUGCUGAAGUUUUGAGAUAACUACCCAACUUACAUGCUGUUGCUCAUCUUACCAGGCUGACUGGAAUUAUAUGUAGUUCCUUCAUGUUUUUCUUUCUUUUUAAAGUUGCACUUCAUAGGUAAUACCCAAAGACACCAGCCUGUGAGGUUUCUGAGUGAGUAUUUCUACUGUACCCGUAGUUUCCUGUAUGGACACUCAUCAUGCACCACUACAGAAAUAAAAGCCCAUCUCUGUCACCCUUAAAGGACAAGUAGGUGAAAAAACAUUUUUUUGGUUUUACAUUUUGCAAAGUAUUCACAUUUCAGUUCCAGAAAUCAACAUGAAUAGUUGUUACAACAAUCUUCUAAAGGCAGUGAAAAUUCUUAGAUAGUUUUUGGUUGCUGACUGCUAAGAUGGAAGCUUACUUCUUACGUCACAUUUUUAAGAUCUCAGAUGACAUAUGAAAAUGUCCUGGAUGCCCUGAUAUUUAAAAAGUGCAUUCUGUUGCACCCUAUGGUAGACAAAUUCCAGUCCUUUGCUUAAUUUCAAAUAAUUCUCCUUGUUUAGCCAGAUGAAUUAUCUGGGUUUCAGAAUACAAGUAGUUUAUUCUGAUGCUCAUUGUUUGAUAAACUGACCCUUCGAUGCAAACAAAAAGGACAAAAUGAAAGUAUUCAUUAAGUUGAUGCCUUUGCAUAUUUCACAUGCAUUUUUUAAGAUCAUGUUACAUAUUCAUCAGUUUGUCUUAGUCACAGAGUUGCUGCCAUGAAUGCUGUGUAAAUAUGUGGAUAUUUGAGCUGCUUUGUAGGGGCAGGUAAGGAAAAAGGUAAGGAGGUAAGGAAAAAAGAAAAAAUCUAAUAU